CCCGCUGAACUUAAGCAUAUCAAUAAGCGGAGGAAAAGAAACCAACAGGGAUUACCCUAGUAACGGCGAGUGAAGCGGUAAUAGCUCAAAUUUGAAAUCUGACCUUUACGGGUUCGAGUUGUAAUUUGUAGAGGAUGUUUCGGGCAAGACUUUGGUUUAAGUUUCUUGGAACAGAACGUCAUAGAGGGUGAGAAUCCCGUCUAGAACCGAUAGUCGAGUCCAUGUGAAACUCCUUCGACGAGUCGAGUUGUUUGGGAAUGCAGCUCAAAAUGGGUGGUAAAUUUCAUCUAAAGCUAAAUAUUGGCCAGAGACCGAUAGCGCACAAGUAGAGUGAUCGAAAGAUGAAAAGCACUUUGAAAAGAGAGUUAAAAAGUACGUGAAAUUGUUGAAAGGGAACCGUUUGAAGCCAGUCUUGCUUGCCUGUGAUCAAUCUUUGCUUCGGCUUGGAUGCACUCUCAGGUUAUGCAGGUCAACGUCAGUUUGAGAGGUGGGAAAAAAGCUUGAGGAAUGUGGCCUUCGGGUGUUAUAGCCUCUUGCUAAAUACCAUCUUUUGGACUGAGGCUCGCAGCAAAAAUGUGGGCAGGUUUGCGUUUGAGGUGAUACAUUAUUAAGACAGCUUGCUGACUUAGUUUUGUCUAUCUUCACUGUAAGCUUCGCUUCUAAUUUGCUUAGGUCGUUGACAUAAUGGCUUUAAAUGACCCGUCUUGAAACACGG
rnacentral:rRNA from 1 species